rnacentral:lncRNA from 10 species
UGAGCCCUGAAGCAUGGCAUUGAGAAGCUGCCUAAGAAGGAGGCAGAUCCAUCAGCCUGGGUGCCCGACUGAUUACCCUGAGCAGAGCUCCCCAGCCCACCUGUGAUGGACGCAUGGAGCUUGAGCAAGGAAUAAAUAUUCGUUGCUGGACUCUGAUUACACUGGACCUAUCCAAGAUCUGAGAUCAUCAACUCAUCUCAAAAUCCUUAAGCUGACCACAGCAGCAUCGUCCCUUUUGCAGUGUAAGAGAAGGAACACAGGCUCAGACAUCAGUGCCAUAUCUGAAGACAUUCAGCUAAUAACAGGAUGGAGUCCAAUCUGAAACAACUGUCACGCUGAGCCUAAUUGCUGAAGAUGGUUGAAGGCACCAGGAGGCUGGAGUUUCCUGGAGGUGGUUUGUGGCCAACCGUCAAUUACUUGGGCUGCUGUGCAGUGGGGAUAGAAGGAUGAUUAGAAUCCACAGACAACCCAUUGGCCUUUGUUUACCAUUAACUUCUGUUUUCUCCACCAGCCAAGCUCCUCCAGACCCAGGAGAUGGCUCUUCCCUCUGUGUAGCACACUCUUUCCAGUCAAGGGGUCUUGCACUGCUAUUUCCCCUUCUGCUUUGCUUGGUUCAUUCUUACUGACCCUCCAAAUACUGAAGGAAUGAAUGGAGAAAUAAGUAAAUGAGAGAUGUGGCCAAGAGUCUCCAAGAGAGGAAAUUAAAAAAUCCUAUACCUGUGAGGAACUGGCCCACUUGCAAAA